rnacentral:rRNA from 1 species
GGUGGACCAUUGGAAAUGGGCGAUGCCUGCUCCAGCGUGCCGCGUCUCUGAUGAUGCCUGCGGGUUGAAUGCAUACUCGUAGGGAUGCAAGCCGAGUGCCACUCCACUCGGUCCUGACGCACCUAUAGAUGAUGCACCGGCUAACUCCGUGCCAGCAGCCGCGGUACACGGAGGGUGCGAGCGUUAAUCGGACCACUGGGCGUAAAGGGCGCGUAGGCGGUGAAGUAAGUCGGGUGUGAAAGCCCCGGGCUCAACCUGGGAACUGCAUCCGAUACUGCUCUCGCUAGAGUAUGGUAGAGGGAAGCGGAAUUCCGGGUGUAGCGGUGAAAUGCGUAGAUCUCCGGAGGAACACCAGUGGCGAAGGCGGCUUUCCUGGACCAAUACUUGACGCUUGAGGCGCGAAAGCGUGGGGAUCAAACAGGAUUAGAUACCCUGGUAGUCCACGCCCUAAACUCUGAGAACUACCUUUGGAGGAAUUUAUUCUUUUAU